AAAUUAAUUCUGUGAAGACUUUCAAGAUGUUCAUGGCGUAUUUGUUUGCAACUGCUUUCAUAACUAUACAGGUAUCUAUCUAUCUAUCUAUCUAUCUAUCUAUCUAUCUAUCUAUCUAUCUAUCUAUCUAUCUAUCUAUCUAUCUAUCUAUCUAUCUAUCUAUCUAUCUAUCUAGUUUUGUUUUAUUAUAUGUAUAUUUGAUUAAAGAUCUCCUUUAAAAUAAAUUAAUGUUUUCUAUUUCACAGUACAGUAACAUCUGAAAAUGAUAUCUGUGAUAAUAUUGGAAAGAAGAUGCAUGCACAAAGAAAAUUAUUUCCGAAAAGAACAACCACAGAUAAGUUUUUUGUGUUUGGAGACAAAAAAUAAAACUUUUUUAACUAUACUAUACAGGUUACAAUGACGUUGGCACAAGGGGGGCCCAGCCAUCCACUGGACCUGCCAGAACAGGAUAUUGCAACGACUGCGUCGCUCGAUUCUAUAUAGGCUUCCGACAUAUGACACCAGAAUGUUAAUAAAAAUUAAACAAUCAACACCUUUGAUUAAAAAAGGAGGACUUUGAAUUUGAUUUGACUCAUAGAAUCAUCCUUUUCACUUGAUCUAUUGUUGCUCGUUUCAAACAACAUCUUUGCCCGAAACUUUUUGUAAAGCAUCUGAAGUUGAAAUAAAAUGGCUUGAAUUUUG
rnacentral:misc_RNA from 1 species